GGAGGGGCCGUGUCGGGGGGGAGCCAGCGAGUCGUGCGCUGCCGUCUCUAAGUCGCCGGUGCCAGCCGGGUGUGCAGCGCCGCGCUCCCGCGGGAGGACGGCCCGGGGGGUCGGUCUGGGAAACUCCGGCCCCGCCCCCAUUCUCCACCCGGAUUCCACCCCGAUCCACCCAGACCCGCAGCCCCUCGCCUGGAGUCCCGAGGACCCGAUUCGAAACCAGCCGCGGGAGCCGUGGGGGCAGGCGGGAGAGAGGGCUGGGCCCCUGUGCUUGCGAGAACGGGUCCUUCGAAGUAGAAACUGGGGAGAGGACUUUAAGCCAGGUCCCCUGGGAGAAGGCCGGGCCAGGUUACGAGGUUUCUCCUUGGCCUUGUUCCCGCUGCGCCCACUCCUGAAAGCUCCGGAGAUGCUGAAGUCUGGACUGUGGAAUGACUCUACAGGAUACUCGGAGGGAUAUCAGGUUUAGGAGACCGAGGGGUGUGGAGUCGGAGCCAGGCUGCAUUCCAGCCCGGGUGUCCGGGUGUGCUCAGAGCUCUGCUGGGACCAGGGUGGACCCCGGAUUCCCCUGUGGAGCCUGUCACUGCCCCUCCCAGCCGGAUUCUCGGAUUAUUUCAUCCGGCUUAGCUCUGCCCCAGGGCUGGGGGAGCUGGCUCCCCCGCCCACUCCUUCCAGAGGGUCCUCUCAUUCCUCAGCAUAGGCUCCCCAGUUCUAGACCCCAGAGACUCUAGGAGACCCUCGAAGAAGGAGACAGGGUGGGCCCAACCAGCCACACAUAAUCAUCCCCAGCAAGAAACUGGACCCUGGAGAAAAGGGUACAUGUUGCCCACGCAUCUCCACACACUCAGGAACCCCAGCUACCCUAGAAGUGCUCCCACUCACUGCCCCCGACUCCUCAGUUUGGGCAAGAGAGGGGCGGGAGGCAGGGGAGCAUCAUCCAGGCAGAAGUUCAAGGCUGGAAGACCCCAUCAGUCGUUUAGCCCAGGAGCUCUUAACCUUUUCAUGGGGUCAUGGCCCUCUUGAGAAUCUAAUAAAAGUAUAGAACUGUCUUCAGAAAAAUGUGCACAUACAAUUUCAAAGAAUUACUGGAGUCUGAGACCUAUUUGUGCAUCCCUGGGAAGUCCCUGAAAUUUUUACUGGGAAGGAAAUUGAGGCCCAGAAAUGGAGGGUGGCUUGCCCAGAGCCCCAUGUUAAUUUGUGGUAGUGCCUGAGAGUGUGAAAAUACACACACACACACACACACACACACACACACACACACACACACACAAAGGGAAACAGAUGCACUGGAAGGGGACAG
rnacentral:lncRNA from 1 species